rnacentral:rRNA from 1 species
AUCUUGCGCAAUGGGCGAAAGCCUGACGCAGCAAUUCCGCGUGGGGGACGAAGGCCCUAGGGUUGUAAACCCCUUUUGCGAGGGAAGAAGUUCUGACGGUACCUCGCGAAUAAGCACCGGCUAACUACGUGCCAGCAGCCGCGGUAAUACGUAGGGUGCAAGCGUUGUCCGGAUUUAUUGGGCGUAAAGAGCCCGCAGGCGGCUCAGCAAGGUUCAGGUGAAAUCUCCCGGCUCAACUGGGAGGGGUCCUGGAAAACUGUUGAGCUAGAGGCAGGGAGAGGGAUGUGGAAUUCCCGGUGUAGUGGUGAAAUGCGUAGAUAUCGGGAGGAACACCAGUGGCGAAGGCGGCAUCCUGGCCCUGUCCUGACGCUCAGGGGCGAAAGCGUGGGGAGCAAACCGG